rnacentral:tRNA from 1 species
AGCGGAACAGGGCCGGAACUGAGGGGGAUGUUCGCCUGGUCAACGCCCUUUCCAGGUUCACUCGUAAUGAAAAGGUCGCGAGUUCGAUUCUCGCAGGCA